rnacentral:sRNA from 1 species
GCUUAGACAAAAUGCUAACAACUAGUCUGUGGAGCAAGUGGAAUGGUGUCACCAGAGAGAAAAACUGGAACAAGAGAGAAGCAUCUGGCAGGACACAGGCGAAACAGGAUUCAAGGAAAGACAGCUAAGGAGCCCUCUUGUGUUUGGAUGAGCUCAAGAGAAAGUUCUCUCUCAGCUUCCUGUGUGACCAGAAAUUCUCCUGAUUCCACUGCGCACUGCUAUGCCUCCUCUGCAAUUACGAAUUCUCUCACA